CAGGGAUUUUUAAACUUGCAGAAACAAAAGUUGGAUAAUAGAAUCAUAAAACAAAUGAGAUCUUAGCAAUUAUUAAGUAAAAUUCAUUACAUAAUACAGGAAUUCCUUCUGUGACAUUGCUGAAACUGAUCAUCCACCCACGACUUGAACUUUUGCAGCUCUGGAGAACUUAUUACUUGUAAGUAGGCCACUCCAUAAAGGAAAAUAAUAAGGGAAUAUAUUUCCUUCUUAAUAAGUAUAAAAGGGCCAACAAGGCACUAAAGAUUUUUAAUGCUUAAAAAGACUUUAACAUUUUUAGCAGGGAAAGCUGAGAUCUACAGUCUGAACUAGACCGAACACGGCUCUGGGCCUCAGGGCAAACGUACUACAAGAGAGAAGAAUGAAUAAAUAUUUCCUCAUUACAUUAGCUCCAUCCAAGUGUGCGGAUCUGGAUCCCCUGCAUCUAAGAUUACUUAAGACAAAGUUUUAAAUCGCUCCAGGGAUGCUGCUAUCCUGUUAACCCUUUUUUGAGACUGAAGAAUGGCAGAUGACUGAGAAGUGAAAGGUAGAGAAGAAAAUCAACAGAAGCGAAGUUGACAGCAAAGAAAACAUUUCUGCCUAUGACAAUGUGUCUGGAACCUGAAGCAUUGACCUUGAAGCACUGGUCUAUUCAUUUGUGGAUGGUUUAAUCAAUGGAUCCUUUUAACAGCUGCGUCAUUUCUCAUUGAAAGAAAGGCCUGUGGACAUGGCCUAAGGGGUGGACUAUGGCAGCCAUGAGAUGUGCUUCACAGACUUCAGCUUCAGGGAGUACCUGUCAUAGAAAUACCUAUAUACUAAUGUUGUCACAGAAACAGAUCAUCAGCAAUUCAAAGUUGAAAACCAUAGAAAUCUUCCCUGAAGGAGGAAGCAGCACUUCUAAUUUAGAAUACAGUAUCUCAUGGAAAUAGAAUCAAAUUUAAGUGGACCCCAUGAACAGCUCUUUUAAUUUGCAAUUAUAAGCUUCACCAAAGGAAGAAUUAGAAUUCUUAUGAAGAGAAUCAUUUUGAAAUUAAAAAAAUUUGUCAUAGAUUUCCAGUUUUAAUAUUCACUAUGGUGGCAUUGGCACCAAGUUAGAAAUUGUGAAACAGAGUAUGAAGCAUUCUCUGGACAUAAAAGUUUCCUGCCAACAGAGAUCGGAAGUCUUCGAUUCUCUGCCUGCGGCUACUUUUCAACUCUUUGUGCUGCAGCUUCUGGCCCCACCACUCCACUGAAAUUGUUUUCAUCCGGGGGCCCUGUGAUCUCCAGGAUGUUGAAUUCGAUAGAAAUUUCUCAGUACCAUUCAAUACAGCAGACCUUUCUUCAUUCUUUUCUUAGCUGUGAUGACAUCAGCCACUUGUAGUUUUCCUUUUGUUUCUUGUAGUGACUCUUUCACCAUGUUCUUUGCUGAUGCUGCGCCUUACUACACCUCUAAAUGUUGGAACGUAGACAUAUUGGUUCCUCCAAUGGCAACAUGUCGUUCCUAGGUGAUCGCAUUACUUUAAAUAUCAUCUGUGAGCCAAAGGCUUCCAAAGUAUCUUUCCAGUCCAGGUCUUCCUUCAGAGCUCCAGGAUCAUUUAUUCAAUAGCAUCCUUGAUAUUUCCAUUUGGAUUUCUCUUAAGCAUCUCAAACUUAACAUGUCUAAAACUGAAUUGCUAAUCACCCCUCGCACCCAAAUCUGUUCCUUUAAUUGUCUUCCCAGUUUAACCACCAUCUAUGCAAAAAACUAAGUGUCAUCCUUGGUUUGGCUCUUUCCUUUCCAGCAAGUCUCAUUAAUCUUAUCUUCAACAUACAUUAAAUAUUUUCAUUUUUCUUCACUUCACUGCUACCACUCUCAUAAAAGCCACCAUCGUUUUUUGCCUGGACUUCUUCAAUAGCCUUGUAACUGGUCUCUUUGCUUUUACUCUUGCUUUUAGUCUGUUCUCACUACAA
rnacentral:lncRNA from 1 species